GCCAGGCGGAAAAACAUUACCGAUGAAGUCUCUGCCAGGGUUGCGGGUCUCGGGGAAUCUCUCCCAGCGUUUGUUCCAACCAGAACGGCGUAUAUCUGCAAGACAAAAACUGGAGUGAGAAUUGCACGUCACUUCCAGGCCACCUACCGACUCCGAAAGCAGAAAAACGACUUCCUGCGCAACAGACGCCGACUUCAUCGAAGGCACCACGUGCGGAAAAAAGGCACUCUGUGUCUCGUCAUUUUGCGGUCGGUGUUUUCUGGAAAACGCGGGUUUUGGAGAGCCGCGUGAAGACCAGCGGCCUGCGUGGAGCGGGCGCCGUCAACUGACUGCGACUGUUUCUGCCUUUUCUCGACUCUACGAAAACGAAAACCUUUCCUGCGUUGCCUCGAGUGUCCUGGGCACCUUUUGCAGAAAGCCUGCCACUCUUCUUUGCCCAACAAAUCCC
rnacentral:lncRNA from 1 species